rnacentral:rRNA from 1 species
AUUGAACGCUGGCGGCAGGCCUAACACAUGCAAGUCGAGCGGAGCGGCGGACGGGUGAGGACUGCCUAGGAAUCUGCCUGGUAGUGGGGGAUCACGUCCGGAAACGGGCCCUAAUAACGCAUAGUAUCAAAUCAGAUUAGGGUGGAUUGGCUAGGUGGUGGGGUAGAGGCCUACCAAGGCGACGAUCCGUAGCUGGUCUGAGAGGAUGAUCAGUCACACUGGAACUGAGACACGGUCCAGACUCCUACGGGAGGUAGCAGUGGGGAAUAUUGGGCAAUGGGCGAAAGCCUGAUCCAGCCAGGCCGCGUGUGUGAAGAAGGUCUUCGGAUUGUAAAGCACUGUAAGUUGGGAGGCGUUACCUACAUAGUAUGCACCGGCUAACUCCGUGCCAGCCGCCGCGGUAAUUC